UCGGAAAUGCAUGGAAGGGACCCCCAAA
rnacentral:sRNA from 1 species